ACACCGUGUGUUACGGCACUAAAAACCAAUGAAGCACGUAGAAGGGCCAAGAUGGCGGCCGCCGAAAGAGCGCAGUCGUCUGCAGACUUUUGCAGCUCGAAAGGAACUUUUUUCUUUUUUGUUUCUGCUGUGACAUCCCCUUUGGCGUGGUUUCUGAGAAACAUGUACCUUGGUAGUGGUAGGAACAGAAGGGACUUAAAUGUGAAAAUGAGAAAACAAUUGACUAAAUUCCAUUAUUCCUGGAAUGCUGUCACAUGCAGAAUAAGGAGAUAUUUGACCGAGGGAUCCCUGGAGGCGGGACUUAUUCUUCAGAGUUCUAUGCAAAUACUGCUGAGGAGACCUGCCACUCACGGAUUGGCGCUCAAUCAAAUGGUCUCAUGUCCUGAGAAAACAAUCAGAAGACAAAUCUAUCCAUGAUACCCACUUAAAAAGAGAGCAACCAGCCCAAUGAAUAUCAUAUUUAAAGCACCUCAUCAUAUUUGAAUGUGCAUAUUUCUACUUUGUCUCCACCUAAAGCAAGUGUGAUUGGAAUAAAAGAAAGGGCAAGA